AGCAGGCACGAGUUUCAACCCGCCCUCGGUGAUUUCGGUCCCCGGACCGUCAGCACAAACUGCAUCCCGUGUGCCCACCUGGCUCACUCCCCACGCCAACAGCGGCCUCCGGAGAAGCAAGCCUCCAGCUGGUACGGCCCUCACGCGCCUGAGCCCCAAAGCGGUCCCCGUCACCACUGCUCGACCCUGGAUGUGCCGCUGACAAGCACCCGUGCAGGCUUUCAAAUACUUCCCAACCCAGAGACCUGCCAAGGCUCUCACGUAACCGCGACGCACAGACAGGACAGAGAAUCGCCGAGCAGCCUGCACCCACGCGCCCACCCACCGAGGGGUCGCGCCCCAACACAGGACCAGCCUCAAGUGCAAAUGGUAGGCUGAGGUGCCCCCCACCUGGCCUCCUCGAGACCCAAACAAACUCUACAGGGUGAGGACGUGGCCCUUCCCCGACACCCUUGAAAUCCCUGCCCCUGUCUCUGUGGCCUCAUUAUUUCGGAAAAAAUCCUCAUUUGUUCUGCCCCCAAGAUAACAUCUGCUCACCCACCCCUGCUAUCUCCCGCCCAGCCUCUCCCCUAUGACUGCCCUCAUGUGUGAUGCUGGGUCAGCCCACCCUCUGACCGGCUAUAAGUAUCCCCCCUGUUGAAAACCCAAUGCGGCCCGCUCAGCCAAGGCUGUUUCCCGUGCCUGGAAGGUUCUCCCCGCCUGCUGCUGGCCAAACCCUUCAACCGAUGCUCCCGAAAUCGCUCUGCCAUCACCGAGUCCCCCGCUCCAACUCCCAGCACAAAGGCGCCCCGAAGCAGCAGCCCUUUCUGGGUGUCACACACAGGUCCCGAGUCAACACGCCCCCCACACUAAACUCUUGGAGGCGAAGUUCGUUUGCAGACGUGCACGAGGCACACACAACAGGGCUCUUGGAGUCACUGGUCCCCCUUCGGGUGCAGACUCCGAAUGCCCAGGUGAUGGGAGCUCUGCCAAUGGAUGGGCAACUCGGUCUUAAAGAACGCUUUGAGGAGCGCCUGGGUGGCUCAGGUCAUGACCUCACAGUUCGUGGGUUCGAGCCCCGCAUCGGGCUCUGUGCUGACGGCUUGGAGCCUGGAGCCUGCUUUGGAUUCUGUGUCUCCCCCUUUCUCUGUCCCUCCCCUGCUCAUGCUCUGUCCCUCUCUCUCUCUC